rnacentral:rRNA from 1 species
UUCCAGACUCCUACGGGAGGCAGCAGUGAGGAAUAUUGGUCAAUGGGAGGAAUCCUGAACCAGCCAUGCCGCGUGCAGGGCGACGGCUCUACGAGUUGUAAACUGCUUUUGUACCGGGGUAAAAUGCCUUACGAGUAGGGUUUUGAAAGUACGGUACGAAUAAGGAUCGGCUAACUCCGUGCCAGCAGCCGCGGUAAUACGGAGGAUCCGAGCGUUAUCCGGAUUCAUUGGGUUUAAAGGGUGCGUAGGUUGUUUUAUAAGUUAGCGGUGAAAUACCGAUGCUCAACAUCGGGGCUGCCGCUAAUACUGUAGGACUAGAGAUCGGAUGCAGCAGGCGGAAUGUGUAGUGUAGCGGUGAAAUGCAUAGAUAUCACGCAGAACUCCGAUUGCGAAGGCAGCGCACCGGCGCCCUACUGACGCUCAGGCACGAAAGCGUGGGUAUCGAACAGGAUUAGAUACCCUUGUAAU